rnacentral:lncRNA from 1 species
UAGGCCCGGCCCGGGAAAAAAAUUCAUAGGCCCGAUCCAGCCCGGCCCGUUUUUUAAAUAAAUACCAAAAAUUUAUUUUAAAAAUUAAAACAAAAAUUAAAAAAAGUAUUUUAAAAAUAUUUUAAAAUUAAAAAAAAUUAAAAAAAUUUUUUAAAAUUUUUUUAAAAUUUAACAAAAUUUAAAAAAGUAUUUUAAAAGUAUUUUAAAAUAAAGAAAAUAAAAAAUAAUAAAAAUAUUUAUUAUAUUCGGGUCAGGCCUGGGCCAAAAAAGUUGUGCCCGAGGCCCGGCCCGUUUUUUAAUUGGGCCUCGUUUUUUUGCUCAAGCCCAUAUUUUGGGCCUAUAUUUUUACCCAAACCCUCCCAUAUUUCGGGCGGGCCGGGCCGCCUGGCCCAUGAGCACCUCUACUCCAACCUGCCAUGAGACUAGAAAAAGGAAACAUAUAAGGGUUAGGAUACAUAAAAAAGCUAGGAUACGCACUUGGCAUCAUCUGAAAAGGCUGUGUUGUGGGUAUCAUCGGUUGAACUACUGGGUCGGGUGACUGUGUUUUUGCUGUUGCUGGGCCUGAUAAAGUUAUGGGCACUGAUGAUGGGCCGGGUGAAUUUCUAGGCCUCGUUGAUGGGCUUGCGUCGCCGUCCCUUCUUCUUGGAUUUAAAGGGAUACGUUGUUCCCUUUGGACACGCAAUUGUCGCUGCCUCUCCUCUGGCGAGAGUAAAUAUGGCUUUCCAUUGAUCCUAAACCAUGGUAUGUAUUACGGCAUGCACGCUAAUUCUGGAAGGAUAAUCGGUUCCCGAAUAGGUAUAUAGUCAUACCAAUCUUCCCACAUUUGGAUGUAGUGUGACCAGAAUCUCAGCCAAUCCGUAUGCAAUUGCCGUAGGUCAAUUUUGUGAUGAUCAUCCAACACCUCAGGUGCCAGAGGAAUCGGUUGUCAGAAUCCAAAUUACCGUAAUACUCUGUUCGACUAGUGCAUCUCUACAGUCGCAAAGUUGACCAAUGAGACUUUCACAUGCCAACCGUUUCAAUUUUGGAAGUACUCAUCCAAAAUUACUGCCCGAAUUGCCGGAUCCUCGUAUAGUG